AUUGAACGCUGGCGGCAGGCCUAACACAUGCAAGUCGAACGAGUGGCGGACGGGUGAGUAAUGUAUGGGAAACUGCCCGAUGGAGGGGGAUAACUACUGGAAACGGUGGCUAAUACCGCAUACCAUCAGAUGUGCCCAUAUGGGAUUAGCUAGUUGGUGGGGUAAAGGCUCACCAAGGCGACGAUCCCUAGCUGGUCUGAGAGGCUGACCAGCCACACUGGAACGGAGACACGGCCCAGACGCCUACGGGAGGCAGCAGUGGGGAAUAUGGCACAAUGGGCGCAAGCCUGAUGCAGCCAGGCCGCGUGUAUGAAGAAGGCCUUAGGGUUGUAAAGUACUUGCAGCGGGGAGGCGUUACCCGCAGAAGAAGCACCGGCUAACUCCGUGCCAGCAGCCGCGGUAAUUC
rnacentral:rRNA from 1 species